GAUGAAGAACGUAGCGAAAUGCGAUAGGUAAUGUGAAUUGCAGAAUUCAGUGAAUCAUCGAAUCUUUGAACGCACAUUGCGCCCCUUGGUAUUCCAUGGGGCAUGCCUGUUCGAGCGUCAUUUGUACCUUCAAGCUCUGCUUGGUGUUGGGUGUUUGUCUCGCCUCUGCGUGUAGACUCGCCUCAAAACAAUUGGCAGCCGGCGUAUUGAUUUCGGAGCGCAGUACAUCUCGCGCUUUGCACUCAUAACGACGACGUCCAAAAGUACAUUUUUACACUCUUGACCUCGGAUCAGGUAGGGAUACCCGCUGAACUUAAGCAUAUCAAUAAGCGGAGGA
rnacentral:misc_RNA from 1 species